UGCAGUCGAGCGGACAGAAGGGAGCUUGCUCCCGGAUGUUAGCGGCGGACGGGUGAGUAACACGUGGGUAACCUGCCUGUAAGACUGGGAUAACUCCGGGAAACCGGAGCUAAUACCGGAUAGUUCCUUGAACCGCAUGGUUCAAGGAUGAAAGACGGUUUCGGCUGUCACUUACAGAUGGACCCGCGGCGCAUUAGCUAGUUGGUGAGGUAACGGCUCACCAAGGCGACGAUGCGUAGCCGACCUGAGAGGGUGAUCGGCCACACUGGGACUGAGACACGGCCCAGACUCCUACGGGAGGCAGCAGUAGGGAAUCUUCCGCAAUGGACGAAAGUCUGACGGAGCAACGCCGCGUGAGUGAUGAAGGUUUUCGGAUCGUAAAGCUCUGUUGUUAGGGAAGAACAAGUGCAAGAGUAACUGCUUGCACCUUGACGGUACCUAACCAGAAAGCCACGGCUAACUACGUGCCAGCAGCCGCGGUAAUACGUAGGUGGCAAGCGUUGUCCGGAAUUAUUGGGCGUAAAGGGCUCGCAGGCGGUUUCUUAAGUCUGAUGUGAAAGCCCCCGGCUCAACCGGGGAGGGUCAUUGGAAACUGGGAAACUUGAGUGCAGAAGAGGAGAGUGGAAUUCCACGUGUAGCGGUGAAAUGCGUAGAGAUGUGGAGGAACACCAGUGGCGAAGGCGACUCUCUGGUCUGUAACUGACGCUGAGGAGCGAAAGCGUGGGGAGCGAACAGGAUUAGAUACCCUGGUAGUCCACGCCGUAAACGAUGAGUGCUAAGUGUUAGGGGGUUUCCGCCCCUUACUGCUGCAGCUAACGCAUUAAGCACUCCGCCUGGGGAGUACGGUCGCAAGACUGAAACUCAAAGGAAUUGACGGGGGCCCGCACAAGCGGUGGAGCAUGUGGUUUAAUUUGAAGCAACGCGAAGAACCUUACCAGGUCUUGACAUCCUCUGACAACCCUAGAGAUAGGGCUUUCCCUUCGGGGACAGAGUGACAGGUGGUGCAUGGUUGUCGUCAGCUCGUGUCGUGAGAUGUUGGGUUAAGUCCCGCAACGAGCGCAACCCUUGAUUUUAGUUGCCAGCAUUUAGUUGGGCACUCUAAGGUGACUGCCGGUGACAAACCGGAGGAAGGUGGGGAUGACGUCAAAUCAUCAUGCCCCUUAUGACCUGGGCUACACACGUGCUACAAUGGACAGAACAAAGGGCUGCGAGACCGCAAGGUUUAGCCAAUCCCACAAAUCUGUUCUCAGUUCGGAUCGCAGUCUGCAACUCGACUGCGUGAAGCUGGAAUCGCUAGUAAUCGCGGAUCAGCAUGCCGCGGUGAAUACGUUCCCGGGCCUUGUACACACCGCCCGUCACACCACGAGAGUUUGCAACACCCGAAGUCGGUGAGGUAACCUUUAUGGAGCCAGCCGCCGAAGGUGGGGCAGAUGAU
rnacentral:rRNA from 1 species